rnacentral:sRNA from 1 species
UGGAGUGUUCGGAGCAUGCUCUGGCGGAGCAGCUAGUCAGGGUGUUGCAGGGCAGGCAGCUUCUGGGGCUUCAAGGAACUUAUGCGGAGACAACUUCUGCUGUCCAAAACAAAAACAAGUUGAGCCUGUUGACGAUUACAUCAACUACGAUGUACGAACUAAUGCUGAUUACAAAGAUGCCUACUGGAAAACUGGUGAUAACUAUGAGUCUGGGCUAGGAUUUAAUCCCCAGGAUGGUAGUAAGCCCAAACCUCUGACAGGAUUCAGGCAUCUGGCUCUACCGCCUCCACCAGCAAUUACGACAACAUUUUAACUUAAAAUUUUUAAGUUCGAUGAAACGG